rnacentral:rRNA from 1 species
UUCCAGCUCCAAUAGCGUAUAUUAAAGUUGUUGCAGUUAAAAAGCUCGUAGUUGAACUUCUGUCCGUCGCUGGAACAGGCUUCGGUCUGCCCAGUGGCGGGCAUCCGUCUGCGAACCAUAUGCGUGCUUCACUGGACGGUAUGGGGAGUAGGCACUUUACUUUGAAAAAAUCAGAGUGUUUCAGGCAGGUUAUUAGCCCGAAUACAUUAGCAUGGAAUAAUGGAAUAGGACUCUUGCUCCAUUUUGUUGG